CUAAUCCCAUUCAUGAGAGCUCCACCUUCAUGACCUAAUCACCUCCCAACAGCCCCAUCUCCUAAUACCAUCACAUUGGUGAAUAAAUGUAAGCAUAUGAAUUUCAGAGGAACACAAACAUUCAGACCAUAGCAAGGAGGCUCAAUGCCUUGAGGUCCUCACAUGAUUUUGUUAUGUCCCUCUAGCCACACAGUGUUCAGGGAAUCCUUUUCAUCCUUCCCCAAACCGAGGAUAUAUUGUCAACAGAUAUUACAGUUUAUUAUCGGAGCUCUUCCCUCUGCCUCUGUUAACCACGUUGACUCCAGUCCCUAGCCCUGACCAUAGAACAUUAAACCCUCCUGCUAUUUCCAGGCCUCACUGUGAAAAGCAAUUCGAUGUGGAUGCACAUGGCUCUUUCCUGACCUCUAAGAUCUCAAGCCACCAUCUCUCUCACUUUGAGCUUCUGUGGUCCUGUCUAAAGAGCGGGCAUGGUUGCUACGAUUUGCUCAGGGUCGUUGUCAAGUCACCUUGCAAGAUAACAGCCGGCUGAGUCACCGCUAGCACCUAGACUUACUUUCAGCAAGGAGUCCAACACUACUGGCGGAAAUCCUGUGCCUCUAACAAGCUCAGCCUCUCUGUGGGACGUUCUUCGGGAUCCCUCCGCAGGAGCGCCUGUCCUUUGGGAGGAAGAAGAGCCAACUGGGGUCGUUUGCCUUGGUCUCCUCUCUUCGCUACAUCCACCUAAAGGUAAAAAUAUACCUCACUGGCCUACUUUAAGUAAGAAGUG
rnacentral:lncRNA from 1 species